CACCCGAUGACUGAAAGUAAGUGUAGGUCUUUUAAACCUAAAAUAGUAUUCGUCUACUUCUGGUGA
rnacentral:tRNA from 1 species